UACGUAGGGUGCAAGCGUUGUCCGGAAUUAUUGGGCGUAAAGAGCUCGUAGGCGGUCUGUUGCGUCGGCUGUGAAAACCCGGGGCUCAACUCCGGGCCUGCAGCCGAUACGGGCAGACUAGAGUUCGGCAGGGGAGACUGGAAUUCCUGGUGUAGCGGUGAAAUGCGCAGAUAUCAGGAGGAACACCGGUGGCGAAGGCGGGUCUCUGGGCCGAUACUGACGCUAAGGAGCGAAAGCGUGGGGAGCGAACAGG
rnacentral:rRNA from 1 species